UACGUAGGGUGCGAGCGUUAAUCGGAAUUACUGGGCGUAAAGCGUGCGCAGGCGGUGGCUCAAGCCAGGCGUGAAAUCCCCGGGCUUAACCUGGGAACUGCAUUUGAGACUGCAUGGCUAGAGUAUGGAAGAGGGAAGUGGAAUUUCCGGUGUAGCGGUGAAAUGCGUAGAUAUCGGAAGGAACACCAGUGGCGAAGGCGGCUCACUGGACCGGUACUGACGCUGAUGCGCGAAAGCGUGGGGAGCAAACGGG
rnacentral:rRNA from 1 species